rnacentral:rRNA from 1 species
CCCGAGUGGCGGACGGGUGAGUAACGCGUGGGUAACCUGCCCUGUACAGGGGGGCGAACAGCCGGAAACGGCUGCUAAUACCGCAUAAGCCCGCGGCGCCGCAUGGCGCUGCGGGGAAAACUCCGGUGGUACAGGAUGGGCCCGCGUCUGAUUAGCUAGUUGGCGGGGUAACGGCCCACCAAGGCAGCGAUCAGUAGCCGGCUUGAGAGAGUGGACGGCCACAUUGGGACUGAGACACGGCCCAGACUCCUACGGGAGGCAGCAG